rnacentral:misc_RNA from 1 species
GAUGAAGAACGCAGCGAAAUGCGAUAGGUAGUGUGAAUUGCAGAUGUAACGUGAAUCAUCGAAUCUUUGAACGCAAAUUGCACUCUCUGGUAUUCCGGGGAGUAUGCCUGUUUGAGGGUCGCCAAAUCAACAUCGAAAUUCAUUUGCUUUUGUGAAUGUUUAUCGGAUUUGAGCCGUCUUUUAUUUUUUUUAAUUAAAGUGGCUUAAAAUGUAUUUUUUGGUAUCGAAAAACGUUAUUUUACGAUCAAAUUGAUUAAAAAAAACGUUCAAAUGCCAUCUUUUAAUGUAAUACGUUUGACUGUGGUAUUCAUCAUAGGUUCACUCGUAUACGAUUUUUUAAUUUUUGACCUCAAAUCAGGUAAGAACACCCGCUGAACUUAAGCAUAUCAAUAAGCGGAGGA